rnacentral:rRNA from 1 species
UACGAAGGGUGCAAGCGUUACUCGGAAUUACUGGGCGUAAAGCGUGCGUAGGUGGUUUGUUAAGUCUGUUGUGAAAGCCCCGGGCUCAACCUGGGAAUGGCAAUGGAUACUGGCAAGCUAGAGUGCGGUAGAGGGUAGUGGAAUUCCCGGUGUAGCGGUGAAAUGCGUAGAGAUCGGAAGGAACAUCAGUGGCGAAGGCGGCCAUCUGGGGCAACACUGACGCUGAAGCACGAAAGCGUGGGGAGCAAACAGG